rnacentral:lncRNA from 10 species
CUUUGCUACCGGGACUGUUGAGCCACUUGCUGGGGCUUCUCCCGUUCUGUGGAGUGUACUUUCGCUCCUAUUGCCUUCCGCUUCAGUAAAUCUAGGCUUUCAUUGCUUGCUCGCGGGUGCUGUUCAAUUCUUUGUUCAACGCACCAAGAACCAGGACAACUCAUGAUUAGAACCUUCCACUCGGUACCAGUCCACAGAUUUACAACUUGAGGUGGCCUGCACCAGACCCACGGGGCAAUAACAGUCUUCCAUUGAAUUCUUUAGCAGUUUCUACAAUUGCAUAAGAUCCUAGCUGGCUCAAGAGUCUUCUUGCCUCUGCUGCAGCAAUUACUUGGCUUGGUGUGUAGAUGUCUGAAUGCCAUGAAGUUUAGAGAGGAAAAGAUGACAAGAGCAAAGUAAACAAACAAGAAAGGCCGUGGAUCUUGGUUGAUGCCAACAGAUGCCGUGUCGUGAAGAUGCUCUGAAGGAAAGACGUUGACGGGGUCUCCUCACUCUCCUGGGCCCUUCUGACUAGUGACUGUCUUCUCACUGCUGCUGCUACCAGUGCCCAGUUUGUUGCCUGAAGCCAAAAGCUGAAAGCUCACAUAAUCUUUUGAAGAGUACUACAUAAGUAAAUUGAGUUCUCAUAAUGAAGAAUAGCUGAGUAAACACUGCCACACCAUGUGGCUACAUGCAUUUCCUAAGAUUAAAAACAUUUGCAGUUACAGAAACAGACAUGGGAUAGGAAACACAGGUCUAUUUUAUUUUGUGGGUUUUGAAAUUAAACCAAUUGUUUACAGUAAAGGCGCUGAAGUUCUGCAGAUUAAAAGAAUGAAUUAAAUGUAUUUAUUCAACAAAUAUUUAUUGAUCAUCCACUACAUGCCAGACACUGAGCCAGGUGCCAAAGACAAGCAUGGGUCAUAGAGGUUUCAUGGUGCUUCCGG